UACGAAGGGUGCAAACGUUGCUCGGAAUUAUUGGGCGUAAAGCGCACGUAGGCGGCAUUGCAAGUCCCAUGUGAAAGCCCACGGCUCAACCGUGGAAGUGCAUGGGAAACUGCAGUGCUUGAGUACUUAAGAGGAUCGCGGAAUUCCCGGUGUAGAGGUGAAAUUCGUAGAUAUCGGGAGGAACACCAGUGGCGAAGGCGGCGAUCUGGGAAGAUACUGACGCUGAGGUGCGAAAGCGUGGGGAGCAAACAGG
rnacentral:rRNA from 1 species